rnacentral:rRNA from 1 species
UUAAGCGACUAAGCGUACACGGUGGAUGCCCUGGCAGUCAGAGGCGAUGAAGGACGUGCUAAUCUGCGAUAAGCGUCGGUAAGGUGAUAUGAACCGUUAUAACCGGCGAUUUCCGAAUGGGGAAACCCAGUGUGUUUCGACACACUAUCAUUAACUGAAUCCAUAGGUUAAUGAGGCGAACCGGGGGAACUGAAACAUCUAAGUACCCCGAGGAAAAGAAAUCAACCGAGAUUCCCCCAGUAGCGGCGAGCGAACGGGGAGGAGCCCAGAGCCUGAAUCAGUGUGUGUGUUAGUGGAAGCGUCUGGAAAGGCGCGCGAUACAGGGUGACAGCCCCGUACACAAAAAUGCACAUGCUGUGAGCUCGAUGAGUAGGGCGGGACACGUGGUAUCCUGUCUGAAUAUGGGGGGACCAUCCUCCAAGGCUAAAUACUCCUGACUGACCGAUAGUGAACCAGUACCGUGAGGGAAAGGCGAAAAGAACCCCGGCGAGGGGAGUGAAAAAGAACCUGAAACCGUGUACGUACAAGCAGUGGGAGCCUCUUUUAUGGGGUGACUGCGUACCUUUUGUAUAAUGGGUCAGCGACUUAUAUUCUGUAGCAAGGUUAACCGAAUAGGGGAGCCGAAGGGAAACCGAGUCUUAACUGGGCGUUAAGUUGCAGGGUAUAGACCCGAAACCCGGUGAUCUAGCCAUGGGCAGGUUGAAGGUUGGGUAACACUAACUGGAGGACCGAACCGACUAAUGUUGAAAAAUUAGCGGAUGACUUGUGGCUGGGGGUGAAAGGCCAAUCAAACCGGGAGAUAGCUGGUUCUCCCCGAAAGCUAUUUAGGUAGCGCCUCGUGAAUUCAUCUCCGGGGGUAGAGCACUGUUUCGGCAAGGGGGUCAUCCCGACUUACCAACCCGAUGCAAACUGCGAAUACCGGAGAAUGUUAUCACGGGAGACACACGGCGGGUGCUAACGUCCGUCGUGAAGAGGGAAACAACCCAGACCGCCAGCUAAGGUCCCAAAGUCAUGGUUAAGUGGGAAACGAUGUGGGAAGGCCCAGACAGCCAGGAUGUUGGCUUAGAAGCAGCCAUCAUUUAAAGAAAGCGUAAUAGCUCACUGGUCGAGUCGGCCUGCGCGGAAGAUGUAACGGGGCUAAACCAUGCACCGAAGCUGCGGCAGCGACACUGUGUGUUGUUGGGUAGGGGAGCGUUCUGUAAGCCUGUGAAGGUGUACUGUGAGGUAUGCUGGAGGUAUCAGAAGUGCGAAUGCUGACAUAAGUAACGAUAAAGCGGGUGAAAAGCCCGCUCGCCGGAAGACCAAGGGUUCCUGUCCAACGUUAAUCGGGGCAGGGUGAGUCGACCCCUAAGGCGAGGCCGAAAGGCGUAGUCGAUGGGAAACAGGUUAAUAUUCCUGUACUUGGUGUUACUGCGAAGGGGGGACGGAGAAGGCUAUGUUGGCCGGGCGACGGUUGUCCCGGUUUAAGCGUGUAGGCUGGUUUUCCAGGCAAAUCCGGAAAAUCAAGGCUGAGGCGUGAUGACGAGGCACUACGGUGCUGAAGCAACAAAUGCCCUGCUUCCAGGAAAAGCCUCUAAGCAUCAGGUAACAUCAAAUCGUACCCCAAACCGACACAGGUGGUCAGGUAGAGAAUACCAAGGCGCUUGAGAGAACUCGGGUGAAGGAACUAGGCAAAAUGGUGCCGUAACUUCGGGAGAAGGCACGCUGAUAUGUAGGUGAAGUCCCUCGCGGAUGGAGCUGAAAUCAGUCGAAGAUACCAGCUGGCUGCAACUGUUUAUUAAAAACACAGCACUGUGCAAACACGAAAGUGGACGUAUACGGUGUGACGCCUGCCCGGUGCCGGAAGGUUAAUUGAUGGGGUCAGCGCAAGCGAAGCUCUUGAUCGAAGCCCCGGUAAACGGCGGCCGUAACUAUAACGGUCCUAAGGUAGCGAAAUUCCUUGUCGGGUAAGUUCCGACCUGCACGAAUGGCGUAAUGAUGGCCAGGCUGUCUCCACCCGAGACUCAGUGAAAUUGAACUCGCUGUGAAGAUGCAGUGUACCCGCGGCAAGACGGAAAGACCCCGUGAACCUUUACUAUAGCUUGACACUGAACAUUGAGCCUUGAUGUGUAGGAUAGGUGGGAGGCUUAGAAGUGUGGACGCCAGUCUGCAUGGAGCCGACCUUGAAAUACCACCCUUUAAUGUUUGAUGUUCUAACGUUGACCCGUGAUCCGGGUUGCGGACAGUGUCUGGUGGGUAGUUUGACUGGGGCGGUCUCCUCCUAAAGAGUAACGGAGGAGCACGAAGGUUGGCUAAUCCUGGUCGGACAUCAGGAGGUUAGUGCAAUGGCAUAAGCCAGCUUGACUGCGAGCGUGACGGCGCGAGCAGGUGCGAAAGCAGGUCAUAGUGAUCCGGUGGUUCUGAAUGGAAGGGCCAUCGCUCAACGGAUAAAAGGUACUCCGGGGAUAACAGGCUGAUACCGCCCAAGAGUUCAUAUCGACGGCGGUGUUUGGCACCUCGAUGUCGGCUCAUCACAUCCUGGGGCUGAAGUAGGUCCCAAGGGUAUGGCUGUUCGCCAUUUAAAGUGGUACGCGAGCUGGGUUUAGAACGUCGUGAGACAGUUCGGUCCCUAUCUGCCGUGGGCGCUGGAGAACUGAGGGGGGCUGCUCCUAGUACGAGAGGACCGGAGUGGACGCAUCACUGGUGUUCGGGUUGUCAUGCCAAUGGCACUGCCCGGUAGCUAAAUGCGGAAGAGAUAAGUGCUGAAAGCAUCUAAGCACGAAACUUGCCCCGAGAUGAGUUCUCCCUGACCCUUUAAGGGUCCUGAAGGAACGUUGAAGACGACGACGUUGAUAGGCCGGGUGUGUAAGCGCAGCGAUGCGUUGAGCUAACCGGUACUAAUGAACCGUGAGGCUUAACCUU